UGGGCGGUCCGCCCCGCCGCCCGCGGUCGGGCCGCAGUGCGCCGGCUCCUCGCGAGUUCGAAACAGUUGGGAGUUGGACCCACUCCAGCUUCGGCUCUGGGAGGCCCUCUGAGGGGCCUGCCCUCCUGGGGCCAUGAAGAAGGCCGUCCUAAAAAACAAAAAAGAAAAACAAACUGGCUUCAACGUCAAGUCCUCUGUGCACAACUUGAGCAAAACUCAGCAGACCAAACUCACUGUGGGGAACCUAGGCUUGGGCCUGAUCGUCAUCCAGAACGGGCCCUACCUCCAGAUCACCCACCUCAUCAGGAAGGGGGCUGCGGCCAGGGAUGGAAAACUCAAGCCAGGUGAUGUUCUGAUUAGUGUUGGCCAUGCCAAUGUGUUAGGAUAUACUCUUCGAGAAUUUUUAAAACUUUUGCAACACAUCACCAUAGGAACAGUACUACAGAUCAAGAUUUACCGAGAUUUUAUUGACAUACCACAAGAGUGGCAAGAAAUCUAUGAUUUAAUCCCUGAGACCAAAUUCCCAGUAACGCGCCCAACAAAGAAAACUGAGGAGUCAAAAGAUGACCUUUUGGCAAGCAGUGAUGACAACGAAGAUGUAGUUUCAGAUAAAAAACUUAAGUAUUAUAAAGACCCAGGGUCCACUGGGCCUCAGUCUGCAACAAGACCGAUGUCUAUCUCCAGAGAGUGGCAUGGAUAUAAGAAGAAGAACCAUACCAUUAGCGUAGGGAAAGACAUUCAGUGUGACGUGAUGAUUCACAGAGAUCACAAGAAAGAAGUGAGAGCCCCUUCUCCAUACUGGACAAUGGUGAAGCAUGACAAGGAGAGCUCCUCCUCCUCCACGGCCUCCUCCACCUCAGAUGCAUUUUGGAUGGAAGACUACGCCCAGGCUGAAAAGAGCAAGGUUCCACCUGUAGCGAAAGCUGCCACCCAGGCUGAAAAGAGCAAGGUUCCACCUGUAGCGAGAGCUGCCACUCAGGCUGAAAAGAGCAAGGUUCCACCUGUAUCGAAAGUUGCUUAGGAGGCAGUCUGCAAGUUGGUGAUCACAUAAGCAUCUAUCUUGAACACACCCAACUUUUGUGCAUUGCUCUGUACAGGUUUGCUAUACUUACAGUAAUAUGUGCAGACUUUUCAAUUCUUUCACAAGUGCAUUGUAAUGCCUUCAGAGACCUUCUUCCAUGUGAUAGCCAAACACUGCCCUGGGGCCCGACAGGCCUCACCACCUUAUUCUCAAAAUAGCAAUGUCAUUCACAUCAUUCACACACUCCCUUCUGAGAAGAACGUCUCAUCUUUUACAAAAUGCAGCAGAGGAACCCAGGGUCAGAAUGCAUGAACAUAGAGAGAAUUUCACUUUUUAAGAGCUGUUGGUGAGAAGAUGGCUGAGACCUCUGCAAUGCAAGAGGAGUUAAUAUUCUUAAUAUAGAAAGAAUUGGGGAAAACCCACUGAUUUUGGAUUUAUUCUGUAGUUCAUAUAUUUGUUAGGUACAAUAGAGAAUACAAAAAGGUAUAAGACGUAGUCCUUGCCCUCAAAACAACUGAACCUCACAAUAAUAUAUGUUAAAAAAAAAAAUACACCAAUAGCAGGAGGAAUGUCUUCGGCUGAGAAGAUGAAUGGAAAUCCCAAGAUGCUGGGACGUGCAGGACUGGCACGACAGAGUUUAUUUCUUGGAAGGAGAAUCACAUGAAAAUCACAUGAAAUUGCCACUAUUCAACUCUUCUUGACCUUUUGGAAUUUGAAAUGGUUUAAUCUAUUGGUACUUCAGCUGAAUGAGGAAA